AGUGGUCUAACAUUACAGUAUGAAGAAAUAAAAAGAAGACGAAAUUGUGCCAUUACAGGUAUAAUUGCUAAAGGCUGUGUAAAUAAUUGGCAAGGCAAGAACUUUAAUCUAACGAUCACUGUUCCUGGUCUAAAGGAAGAAUCCCAAGUUUUGAAAAUUAAACUUCUCCCAGGCCUUCCUCAGCAGCUAAGUGUGAAACCAGAUUCUGAUGUCUUGACAAUUGAGAAUGGAACAGCUUUCUCUUUUCAUGUUGAGGUAUUGGAUGAAGUAGGUAACAUAACAGCUCAACCAAACCUGCUUGUUCAGUGCAAGUUUUUAGGAGUUCCAGGCCUUCCUGUAUAUUCUGUAGAUUUCAGCAGUCCUGAAAAAAAUACAUUAACUGGACCAGUUCUGCACAUUCAAAAUAUAAAGAAAGAUCAAAAACUUAAAGCAACAAUCGAAAUACCAGUAAGUUA